rnacentral:rRNA from 1 species
AUUGAACGCUGGCGGCAGGCUUAACACAUGCAAGUCGAGCGGAGAUGAGGUGCUUGCACCUUAUCUUAGCGGCGGACGGGUGAGUAAUGCCUAGGAAUCUGCCUGGUAGUGGGGGACAACGUUUCGAAAGGAACGCUAAUACCGCAUACGUCCUACGGGAGAAAGUGGGGGAUCUUCGGACCUCACGCUAUCAGAUGAGCCUAGGUACGAUUAGCUAGUUGGUGAGGUAAAGGCUCACCAAGGCGACGAUCGUUAACUGGUCUGAGAGGAUGAUCAGUCACACUGGAACUGAGACACGGUCCAGACUCCUACGGGAGGCAGCAGUGGGGAAUAUUGGACAAUGGGCGAAAGCCUGAUCCAGCCAUGCCGCGUGUGUGAAGAAGGUCUUCGGAUUGUAAAGCACUUUAAGUUGGGAGGAAGGGCAGUAAGUUAAUACCUUGCUGUUUUGACGUUACCGACAGAAUAAGCACCGGCUAACUUCGUGCCAGCCGCCGCUGUAA